rnacentral:rRNA from 1 species
UAAGGAAUCUUCCACAAUGGACGAAAGUCUGAUGGAGCAACGCCGCGUGCAGGAUGACAGCCUUCGGGUUGUAAACUGCUUUUAUAUGGGAAGAUAAUGACGGUACCAUAUGAAUAAGGACCGGCUAACUACGUGCCAGCAGCCGCGGUAAUACGUAGGGUCCAAGCGUUAUCCGGAAUCACUGGGCGUAAAGCGUGCGCAGGCGGAUAUUCAAGUGAGAUGUUAAAUCGCGUGGCUCAACCAUGUCGCUGUAUCUCAUACUGGAUGUCUAGAGGAUGGCAGAGGCUAGUGGAAUUUGUAGUGUAGCAGUGAAAUGCGUAGAUAUUACAAGGAACACCAAUGGCGAAGGCAGCUAGCUGGGCCAUUUCUGACGCUCAGGCACGAAAGCGUGGGGAGCGAACAGGAUUAGAUACCCCCGUAGUCC